UACGUAGGGUGCGAGCGUUAAUCGGAAUUACUGGGCGUAAAGCGUGCGCAGGCGGUGAUGUAAGACAGAUGUGAAAUCCCCGGGCUCAACCUGGGAACUGCAUUGGUGACUGGCAGGCUAGAGUAUGGCAGAGGGGGGUAGAAUUCCACGUGUAGCAGUGAAAUGCGUAGAGAUGUGGAGGAAUACCGAUGGCGAAGGCAGCCCCCUGGGCCAAUACUGACGCUCAUGCACGAAAGCGUGGGGAGCAAACAGG
rnacentral:rRNA from 1 species